UGUAACCAAUGGGGGGGCCCGGAGAGGCGGGCUGAGAUAAGCGCCCGGUGAUGUGCUUGACCCUUUGAACCUGAUCUGGUUAGUACCAGCGAAGGGAAUGUGGGGAAACAAUUAU
rnacentral:ncRNA from 2 species